UACGGGGGGGGCAAGCGUUGUUCGGAAUUACUGGGCGUAAAGGGCGUGUAGGUGGCCAACUAAGUCCGACGUGAAAUCCCCAGGCUUAACCUGGGAACUGCGUCGGAUACUGGAUGGCUUGAAUUCGGGAGAGGGAUGCAGAAUUCCAGGUGUAGCGGUGAAAUGCGUAGAUAUCUGGAGGAAUACCGGUGGCGAAGGCGGCUUCCUGGACCGAGACUGACACUGAAGCGCGAAAGCCAGGGGAGCAAACGGG
rnacentral:rRNA from 1 species